GAAGUGCGAUAAGCAAUGCGAAUUGCAGAACCGUGAGUCAUCAGAUUUUUGAACGCAACUGGCGCCGGUUGGCUCUCCAACCGGCAUGCUUGUUUCAGUGUCUCUUUAUCUCAUCACCCAUAUCAUAAUGCGAGAGAUACCCUUCUCUUGCUAAGCUCGAAAGCACUCUGCGCUCUGCGAGCGGCUUCGACUUGUUCGAGGGUCACACUCAAUGCAGCCGUCACAUUGCUCACAAUGUGAACUCGUUGAGAGCUGAGGCAGUGUAGCGUAAGCUACCAGUGCUUAGUCACACAAACUUUACUUGCAUCUGAAAUCAAGCAGGAUCACCCGCUGAACUUAAGC
rnacentral:misc_RNA from 1 species